CGGAGGAGGCCGGAUCCUGGGCUGUGUCCCGGCGCCCUGUGCUCCGGAGCCUGCGCUGUUGGAUUCACGCUCCCGGGCCGCGCAACCCCCU
rnacentral:pre_miRNA from 1 species